rnacentral:lncRNA from 1 species
CCGCAAUGGCUGAUUUCAAACUACCAACAUAACAUCACUGAACACAGAGUCGUACAGAUUCCCAUUAUAUAUAUAGUAUUUCCACCAUAUAGAUACAAUAGAUAUAAGUAUACUCAAGAGAAUAGAUACUAGUCAAAUAAAUAAGAAGUGGUAAGUUUUGAGUCUUUUAAUAUAAUUUACUUAAUUGUAAGUUUAUAUAACAGUUUUUAAUAAUGGCUGUGUUUAACAACUGGCUUGUAAAAUUCCUGAAAAAUUAACAUUUGGCUCUCAUAAGUCUAUACGAGCUGUCUCUAGCCACCACUGAAUUAGUCCACUGGUCCUCAUUUGGAGCCUUAAUCGUGGACAAAGAGUAGUAUUCAUGUUUAGUUCAGGACCUGGCACCCCGGCAAGUGCUAAGUAAGGGCAGAGUCAAUGUACUUCUAAAGACCAGUGCUCAUUCCCUUGGUAACUGGGUCUCCUCCCCCAGGACACAGCCCAAAAGGUGACCUUUUCCUUCCCUGGCUCUUGGCUGUUUAUCAUUCUGAUCUGCCAGCACCUCCCCCUGUUCAGGAUAGACUAUCACAGGACUGCCUGGGACGUGCACGGAGGGCAUCCUGGCCAGCCGCUUGCCGGAACUCAUGUCAGAUGCCUGCAAGGUCAUCCAGAUGGCCGGAAGGUGAACAGCAGCCCUGGGAAGGAGCUGCCUGCUCCUUGCCUCUCAGCCCCAUGACAUCUGUAUUUUGGAGUUUGGAGUGCCUUUGGCACACAGACCCCACCAGUCCACUGCCCUCAUGAGUUUCAAAACCUGGAUCCACGCUACCACUUCUCAGUUUAACCUCACGUCUCUCCAUUGCUUCUCUGCGCCUGCCAAUAGCAGAGAGAGUCCUAACAGACUACAUGCACUGGGCGCUCGCUCUAGAAUUAUCCCCCUUAAGCCUCAUAACAACCCUAUGAAGUAGGUACUAUCCUUAUCCCGGGUCUGUGGAUGAGAAAGCCAGGGCUCAGGGUGGUGUGCAUGAUUACCCACGGUCGUAGGGGGAGGACCCAGUAUUUUUCCUCUCUCCCUCAACUGUCUUCCUUCACGUGGUAAUCUCAGUUCCUGCAUGAUUAUUUUGCGUUCUUUAGCUUGUUGCGUACUGCUGAAUGUUCUCAGCACCAACGCGGUUGUGGAAGCCACGGGUCUGAAAAGAUUGCUCCAGGAGACAGUGUGCUGUGAGGAUGGAGGGGGGGAGAGGAGGAAUCGCUGAUGAGAUCCUGGGGGACACUGACGCCUAAGGGGCCCUGAGGAAGAGGAGACCCAGAAGGGCUGGCACAGAAAGUGCCAGAUGUCCAGGGGAUGGUCUGCAGGGGGGAAGCUACAAAGUGGACGAGUUACAAGAUGCAGUCAGCUGUCUGCAACCUGGAAGAAGGUUCUCACCAGGGCCAGCCCUGGUGGCCUAGUGGUUAAGUUCAGCGUGUUCUGCUUUGGCAGCCGGGGUUUGGUUCCCCACUGAAGACCUACACCACUUGUCGGUCAGCGGCCAUGCUGUGGCGGCGACUCACAUCGAAAAAGAGGAAGAUUGGCAACAGAUGUUAGCUGAGGGCAAAUCUUCCUCAGGAAAAAAAAAAAAAAAGAGGGCUCUCACUAAUCAGUCAGUGCCUUGAUCUUGGAAUUCCCAGCCUCCAGAGCCAUGAGAAAUAAAUGUUUGUUGUUUAAGCUGUUCAUUCUACUGUAAUUUGUGACAGCAGCCCGAGCUAACAGAAAAAACGCACCUAGUGACUCCACUCACAGAAUGAGGAAGUUAGUUGUUUUGCCCAGAACAGAACAGGACUUUCAGCUCUAGGUCAGUGAUUUUUCCACUGCAGCACGGGACGUACCACAAGGUACCAUGGCCUCCAGAGGUCUCCGUUUACUUGAUCAAACAGAAAAUACGUCCUUGGAAUUGGACUCAGUGCAG